GAACGCUGGCGGCGUGCCUAAUACAUGCAAGUCGAGCGAACGGACGAGAAGCUUGCUUCUCUGAUGUUAGCGGCGGACGGGUGAGUAACACGUGGAUAACCUACCCAUAAGACUGGGAUAACUUCGGGAAACCGGAGCUAAUACCGGAUAAUAUUUUGAACCGCAUGGUUCAAAAGUGAAAGACGGUCUUGCUGUCACUUAUAGAUGGAUCCGCGCUGCAUUAGCUAGUUGGUAAGGUAACGGCUUACCAAGGCAACGAUGCAUAGCCGACCUGAGAGGGUGAUCGGCCACACUGGAACUGAGACACGGUCCAGACUCCUACGGGAGGCAGCAGUAGGGAAUCUUCCGCAAUGGGCGAAAGCCUGACGGAGCAACGCCGCGUGAGUGAUGAAGGUCUUCGGAUCGUAAAACUCUGUUAUUAGGGAAGAACAUAUGUGUAAGUAACUGUGCACAUCUUGACGGUACCUAAUCAGAAAGCCACGGCUAACUACGUGCCAGCAGCCGCGGUAAUACGUAGGUGGCAAGCGUUAUCCGGAAUUAUUGGGCGUAAAGCGCGCGUAGGCGGUUUUUUAAGUCUGAUGUGAAAGCCCACGGCUCAACCGUGGAGGGUCAUUGGAAACUGGAAAACUUGAGUGCAGAAGAGGAAAGUGGAAUUCCAUGUGUAGCGGUGAAAUGCGCAGAGAUAUGGAGGAACACCAGUGGCGAAGGCGACUUUCUGGUCUGUAACUGACGCUGAUGUGCGAAAGCGUGGGGAUCAAACAGGAUUAGAUACCCUGGUAGUCCACGCCAUAAACGAUGAGUGCUAAGUGUUAGGGGGUUUCCGCCCCUUAGUGCUGCAGCUAACGCAUUAAGCACUCCGCCUGGGGAGUACGACCGCAAGGUUGAAACUCAAAGGAAUUGACGGGGACCCGCACAAGCGGUGGAGCAUGUGGUUUAAUUCGAAGCAACGCGAAGAACCUUACCAAAUCUUGACAUCCUUUGACAACUCUAGAGAUAGAGCCUUCCCCUUCGGGGGACAAAGUGACAGGUGGUGCAUGGUUGUCGUCAGCUCGUGUCGUGAGAUGUUGGGUUAAGUCCCGCAACGAGCGCAACCCUUAAGCUUAGUUGCCAUCAUUAAGUUGGGCACUCUAAGUUGACUGCCGGUGACAAACCGGAGGAAGGUGGGGAUGACGUCAAAUCAUCAUGCCCCUUAUGAUUUGGGCUACACACGUGCUACAAUGGACAAUACAAAGGGCAGCGAAACCGCGAGGUCAAGCAAAUCCCAUAAAGUUGUUCUCAGUUCGGAUUGUAGUCUGCAACUCGACUACAUGAAGCUGGAAUCGCUAGUAAUCGUAGAUCAGCAUGCUACGGUGAAUACGUUCCCGGGUCUUGUACACACCGCCCGUCACACCACGAGAGUUUGUAACACCCGAAGCCGGUGGAGUAACCUUUUAGGAGCUAGCCGUCGAAGGUGGGACAAAUGAUUGG
rnacentral:rRNA from 1 species